UCGAGAAUCGUCUACAAUGGGGGAAACCCUGAUAGUGCGACGCCGCGUGGAUGAAGAAGCAUUUCGGUGUGUAAAAUCCUUUUCUGUAUGAUCAGUGCUUGUAAGAUGAAUAGUUUUAUGAGAGGGAUAUA
rnacentral:rRNA from 1 species